rnacentral:sRNA from 1 species
AAAGGUAAAGGCGAUAUGGAGGUGUAUAUCCAACCUGGUCCAUAUGUGGAUCCUUUCACGACAGUGACCCUGGACUGGCCAGACAAUGACAAGGAGUUACGCUUCCAAUGGUCAUGUGGGUCUUGCUGGGCUCUGUGGAGCAGCUGUGUUGAGAGGCAGCUGCUUCACACAGACCAGAGGGAGCUGGUGGUUCCAGCAUCCUGCCUGCCGCCGCCUGACUCUGCUGUCACCCUGCACCUGGCUGUUCUGAGAGGCCAAGAGCUGGAGAACAGGGCAGAGCAGUGCCUCUACGUGUCUGCGCCCUGGGAACUCAGGCCUCGAGUCAGCUGUGAGAGGAACUGCAGGCCAGUUAAUGCCAGCGAAGACAUUCUGCUCAGGGUCACCAUGGGGGAGGACUCCCCAGUGGCUAUGUUCAGCUGGUAUUUGGACAACACCCCAACAGAGCAGGCCGAGCCCCUCCCGGAUGCCUGCAGACUCAGAGGAUUUUGGCCAAGGUCCUUAACCCUCCUCCAGAGCAACACCUCCACGUUGCUGCUGAACAGGUCGUUUCUGCAGUCCCGGGGAGAGGUCAUCCGAAUCAGAGCCACAGCACUGACCAGGCACGCCUAUGGGGAGGACACCUAUGUGAUCAGCACUCUGCCUCCCCCUGAGGUGCCUGCCUGCACUAUUGCCCCAGAGGAGGGCACCGUUCUGACGAGCUUUGCCAUCUUCUGCAACGCCUCCACAGCCCUGGGACCCCUGGAGUUCUGCUUCUGUCUGGAAUCAGGUUCCUGCCUACACUGUGGCCCUGAACCUGCCCUCCCAUCAGUGUAUCUGCCACUUGGAAAGGAGAACAAUGACUUUGUGCUGACAGUAGUUAUUUCUGCCACCAAUCAUGCAGGGGACACACAGCAGACCCAGGCCAUGGCUAAGGUGGCACUCGGAGACACAUGUGUUGAGGAUGUAGCAUUCCAGGCUGCCGUGUCAGAGAAAAUCCCCACAGCUCUGCAAGGCGAGGGUGGCCCCGAGCAGCUCCUCCAGCUGGCCAAGGCUGUGUCCUCUGUGCCGAACCAAGAGCAUGAAAGCCAGGGCUCAGGACAGUCACUGAGCAUAGACGUCAGACAGAAGGUCAGAGAGCAUGUGCUGGGAUCACUGUCUGCAGUCACCACCGGCUUGGAGGACGUGCAGAGGGUGCAGGAGCUGGCCGAGGUGCUGAGAGAGGUGACCUGCCGGAGUAAGGAACUCACACCCUUGGCCCAGUGGGAGGCCAGCUUGGCUCUACAGCAUGCCAGUGAGGCCCUGUUGACAGUGAGUGCCAAGGCCCGCCCUGAGGACCAGAGGUGCCAGGCAGCCACCAGGGACCUGUUUCAGGCUGUGGGCAGUGUGCUGGAAGCUUCCCUGAGCAACAGACCAGAAGAGCCUGCGGAGGCCAGCAGCAGCCAGUUUGCCACAGUGCCGCAGCUGCUUGGAGUCGUGGAGCAUGUGCAGACCGCCCUCCUGCUGGGAAAACUGCCAGGGGGCCUUCCAGCCAUGCUGGCCACCCCCUCCAUCUCUGUGUACACAAACAGGUACAAACCAGCUGCAUUACGGGUCCCCAAGAAAGCUCAUCCCCUAACCUGGUUCAUUCCACACCGGCACUCCAAAGCCUUGUGCUAGGCAGAGCUCAGGAGACCAGCCUUGGAGCUAGAGAAGUGAUGGGACCUAGAGCUGGGAAGGGCUUCCCACCAAGAGAAGGCCCCCUUGUCACCAUGUUGAGUGUUUGCACAGCACAGGAAAGGAGGCAUGGAGUGCUAAGCCCAGUGUUAGAUCCACCUGAAGGAGUCCUGAGAGACGGUCACAUGGCAGCUGUGCAGGCAAGGGGGCUGAAUGAAUGGGACUAGCCUGCUGUUAACCAUGCUGUGCAUGUGUCUGGCCAGCCACUGCUCCUUGGGCCUGCAGGGACUCAAGAUCCUCUUACUUUUGGCGUGCGCGCGCACACAUACACACACACACACACAGAGGGCUCAUCUCUCAGUGAGCACUGAUGCCAUACCUGGGAUGCUCCACACCUUCCAUUCCUCCACCUGACAAGCAGGAGCUGGAUAAUGCUGCUGGCAACACUGGGACCCUCUGCCCCAAGCCUCAGUUCCUCCUGCCAGGGUUUCCCUCUUAGAUCUCACAGACAGUUUCCCAAAGCAGUAUCCUGAUUAGAGGAACGAUCUGAAGUGGGGUCCCCAACAAGAUCAGAAAGGGGCAAGGUCAAAGACCAGAAAAGAUGGGGCGGGGUUAAGACAUGACGUUAGAGGUCCAGGUAGGAAGGGGAGAUAAUCCUGGAGAAAAACCCGCAUCCAAGCUCAUUUAUUCAUUCAACGAAAAUACUGAUGGACUACCUGUUAUAUGCCAGGCGCUGCUGUAGACAUUGGGGGUACAGCAGUAAACCAGGCUGGCAAAGCCCCACCCUCAUGGAGCCUCCAGUCUAGCUGCCUCUUGUGCUGCUUCUGCUGAAACAAACAUGCUGAACCACCUAUGGGGAUCAAAACACACCCCCACUCUGAUGGUGAAGCUGGGCUCCCAGUAGUGCAGGAGGUGUGGGGUCUCCCUCGAACACUGACUUUCUCCUCCCUCCCCUGCCACCUCUGUCCUCACCUUGUGGCCAGAAUACAACCCUGGAGUUGGCAAGGCUCCUCCCUGCGCACUGAUGCCGCAGACUCUGCAACCUUCACGCUGCCCGCUGCCUCCUCCCUCGGCUCUCUGGAGGGCGGCCAGGAGCCUGUGGAUAUAAAGAUGAUGAGUUUCCCAAAGAGCCCCUUUCCAGCCCGAAGCCACUUUGAUGUCAGCGGGACUGUCGGUGGCCUCCGUGUGACCAGCCCUAGUGGUCAACUCAUACCUGUGAAGAAUCUGUCGGAGAAUAUCGAGAUCCUGCUGCCCCGGCAUUCACAAAGACACAGCCAGCCGACCGUGUUGAACCUGACCAGUCCUGAAGCUUUGUGGGUGAACGUGACUUCAGGGGAGGCAACCUUGGGGAUCCAGCUGCACUGGAGACCGGACAUUGCACUCACGCUUAGCCUGGGCUAUGGCUACCACCCCAACAAGAGCAGUUACGAUGCCCAAACUCGCCUCGUACCAAUGGUGGCUCCAGAUGAGCUGCCCACGUGGAUCCUGAGCCCACAGGACCUGCGUUUUGGAGAAGGGGUCUACUAUUUGACUGUGGUCCCUGAGUCUGACUUGGAGCCAGCCCCCGGCAGGGACCUCACAGUUGGCAUCACCACCUUCCUGUCUCACUGUGUGCUCUGGGAUGAGGUCCAGGAGACUUGGGACGACUCAGGGUGCCAGGUGGGGCCUCGGACCAGCCUCUACCAGACACACUGCCUCUGCAACCACCUCACUUUCUUCGGAAGCACGUUCCUGGUGAUGCCCAAUGCCAUCGACAUCCACCAGACUGCUGAGCUCUUUGCCACCUUUGAGGACAACCCUGUGGUCGUGACCACCGUGGGCUGCCUGUGUGUGGUCUACGUGCUGGUGGUGAUCUGGGCGAGGAGGAAGGACGCUCAGGAUCAGGCCAAGGUGAAGGUCACAGUGCUGGAAGACAAUGAUCCCUUUGCUCAAUACCACUACCUGGUGACAGUCUACACAGGACACCGACGAGGGGCAGCCACGUCCUCAAAGGUGACUGUCACCCUGUAUGGCCUGGAUGGAGAGAGUGAGCCCCACCACCUGGCUGAUCCCGACACUCUGGUUUUUGAGCGAGGAGCAGUGGAUGCCUUCCUCCUCUCCACCCUGUUCCCCCUGGGAGAACUGCGGAGCCUCCGGCUGUGGCAUGACAACUCAGGGGACCGGCCAUCGUGGUAUGUCAGCCGGGUGCUGGUCUAUGACCUGGCGAUGGACCGGAAGUGGUAUUUCCUGUGCAACUCCUGGCUAUCCGUCAAUGUUGGAGAUUGUGUCCUCAACAAGGUGUUUCCUGUGGCCACGGAGCAGGACAGAAAACAAUUCAGCCACCUGUUUUUCAUGAAGACUUCCGCGGGCUUCCAGGAUGGACACAUCUGGUAUUCGAUCUUCAGCCGCUGCGCUCGCAGCAGCUUCACCCGCGUCCAGAGGGUGUCCUGCUGCUUCUCCCUGCUGCUGUGCACCAUGCUGACCAGCAUCAUGUUCUGGGGGGUCCCCAAGGACCCAGCUGAGCAAAAGAUGGACUUGGGUAAAAUUGAAUUCACCUGGCAGGAGGUGAUGAUUGGCCUGGAGAGCUCCAUCCUCAUGUUCCCCAUCAACCUCCUGAUUGUUCAGAUCUUUCGGAACACUCGUCCCCGGGUCGCGAAGGAGAAGAACACUGGGAAAUGGGACCGGGGGUCCCCCAACCUGACUCCCUCCCCACAGCCCAUGGAGGACGGCCUUCUGACACCUGAGGCAGUGACCAAGGAUGUGUCAAGAAUCGUCAGCUCCCUCUUCAAAGCUCUCAAGGUGCCAUCCCCCGCCUUGGGCUGGGACUCAGUGAACUUGAUGGACAUCAACAGUCUCCUCGCCUUGGUGGAAGAUGUCAUUUGUCCACAGAACACAUCAGGGCAGGUGUUCUGGGAGGAAGCCAAAAAGAGAGAGGACCCUGUAACACUCACUUUGGGGUCAUCAGAAAUGAAAGAGAAAUCACAGUGUCCCAAGCCCAAGGCGGCACGGAGUGGCCCCUGGAAGGACAGCGCCUACAGGCAGUGUCUGUACCUUCAGCUGGAACACGUGGAGCAAAAGCUGCGGCUGGUGGGGCCCCGAGGCUUCCCUCAGCCCCACAGCCAUGCCCGGGCCCUCAGGCAGCUGCAGACCCUGAAGGGCGGCCUGGGGGUACAGCCGGGCACCUGGGCCCCUGCAAUGCCAGCGCUCUUUGGGUGAACAAACCCCCACAAGGCCUGCCCUGGUGGUGCAUCCUGGUGGGCUGGCUCCUGGUAGCGGCCACCAGUGGCGUGGCGGCCUUCUUCACCAUGCUCUACGGCCUGCACUACGGGAGGGCCAGCUCCCUCAGGUGGCUCAUCUCCAUGGCUGUCUCCUUCGUGGAGAGCGUGUUCGUCACCCAGCCCCUGAAGGUGCUGGGAUUUGCUGCUUUCUUUGCACUGGUCUUGAAGAGAGUGGACGAUGAGGAGGAUACUGUGGCCCCGCUGCCAGGACAUCUGUUGGGCCCAGACCCCUAUGCCUUGUUCCGAGCACGAAGAAACAGCAGCAGGGAUGUCUACCAGCCACCUCUCACCACUGCCAUUGAGAAGAUGAAAACCACCCACCUCAAGGAACAGAAAGCAUUUGCCCUCAUCAGAGAAAUCCUGGCAUACUUGGGCUUCCUGUGGUUGCUACUGCUGGUGGCCUAUGGGCAGAGGGACCCCAGCGCCUACCACCUCAACAGACACCUCCAGCACAGCUUCACCAGGGGCUUUUCAGGUGUGCUCGGCUUCCGAGAGUUCUUCGAGUGAGCCAACACCACCCUCGUGAGCAACCUGUAUGGUCACCCCCCAGGUAAGUCCUGCAGCCCUGGGGCUGUGUCAGCCUCCUUGUGCCUUCUCCUGGCUAGGAACAGACGUGGGGCACUGUCAGCAUCAGCCUCAUAAGAAAACCAGGCCAAGUGUGGUGGCUUACACCUGUAAUCCUAGUACUUUGGGAGGCUGAGGCGGGAGGAUUGCUUGAGGCCAGGAAUUCGAGACCAGGCUGGCAACAUGGCAAGACCCUGCCUCUUUGAAAAAUACAAAAAUUAGCUGGAUGUGAUGCCUCAUGCCUAUAGUCCCUGCAACUCAGGAGGCUGAGAUGGGAGGAUUGCUUAAGCCCAGGAGGCAGAGCCUGCAGUGAGCCAAAAUUGCACCACUGCACUCCAGCCUGAGAGACAGAGCAAGACUCUGUCUU